CCCCAAACAUAUUCUGAGGCAUCACAUCCAAAGAUCUUAUAUUUAAAUUCUUUAUGAGAGAGGGAGGAAGAAAGGCAGGAGGAAGAUAUUAACGAUACAGAGAAGAAAUUUUUAAUCAGAGGAAGCUUGAUUUGAAUUGGGAUAGUAAAGGUUACAACCAAGUAGCAGGGUCUGCAGGAAGCACUGUGUGGCAUCUCAGAGCAUCAAGGUAAAAGGUCACUGAAGCUCUAAUCUUGAACUCUCUAAAGCAUUACUCAGAGCUUCUGUAGCUCCUCCUGGAAGAGCAAUGGAAACAGAAACGACCAACAGGCCUUGAGAAUGACCAGGAUAACGAACGGAGCGGCGUUUUAGCGCUGCGCUGCAGCGGCUUUAACUUUGCUCUCCAUAAAGUCAGUAGCAACAACAAGGAUCUCCAUAUCAGCAGGGGAACUGCGCCUGAAUAAUUACACAAGUUGCUGUGCACUCCGCCAUGAGUAAGAGUUUAUGCUGAAGCUGUGAGUUUUCCCACGAAAGCAGAGAAGAGACACGUGUAGCGGGUGGAAGCACACGCAGCUCCUACCACACUCUGGGGAAGGUUCCUGCAUUCCAUGGACAGUGCUGCCUUUGGGGAGGGCUCCCGGUGUGCAGCUCUGCCAUCCCCGCCGGUGUGGAAAAAGUGGAGAACUGUGACCUAUUGUACCACCUAUAAAUGAAAAAUACAGAGCAUCAUGAUUGGAAUUCCCAGGGGGUAUUUUUGUGGAACUUCAGAGCGAACGUGGCUGACACUUGUUCUUUGUUGCCCUUGGGCUACCGGUUUGAUCACUGACUGAAUGGAUUUAUCCAUGUCAGCAGAAGGAAUUUCUCACUCUUGUCGUGCUGAACCCGACACGGAGCAGCGCCAUGGAGCGGGGCGGGCAGCCGGACAGCGCGGAGCAUCGCGAGCAGUUGCUGUAGAUGUCUACUUUGUUCCAAAGCCCCUUUUGUCCCUGGCCAUGGGGCUGUCCUGGAGCACCAUGGAUGUCCCCACACUGGCAGCAGGGCCUGAGCAGCCAUGGGAGGAUGCGCUGCUGGACAGACAUGGGCAGCACCAGCGGUGCAAGUGCAAAGGAUGAAACUGCCCUGGAGAGAGAAUGGGCUCAGCACAUGACAACGCAGACGUGGCUGUGCUCAGGAUUACCAUGCCUGGACGUGGGAGCAAGAAACCUGAACUUGCUGUGGGUUGAAAAAGUCUGAAAUUACAUUCUUGGUGAUGUAAGAGAUCUUCCGAUCCCUGGGAUUUUUCACUGAUGUCAUUACGGACACAAGUACCAUCUGUUUCCUACAUGUAGUAAGAAGCAGCUGCCUCUACAAAGACUGAGGUUUCAGGGAUGCUCAAAGAUGACGCCUCAUGGGAGCGGAGACGAUGCUGUCGCCCUGCAACUCCCUCUAGGACCCCAUGGCUUUGGGAGCCAAACAUUGCGAGCACAUCUUCCCUAGCAGGGAUACUGCUGCAGCAGCAAGCCAGGAAAAUUAGCUUGAGUUUUCAGAAGCAUCAGUAUUUCCCUUCCAUUCUUCCUCACAAGCAUCAGCCUCUCUGCAGCUCCUUCCCGCAUCAGUGCAAGAGGGCAAAGGCUUCCAAUGCUGGCAUCAGGGGGGAAUUGUUCUUCACAUGGCACAACUCAGCCAGGCAGCAGCAAAUCUUAUGUCCCAUCAGCUUGCAGGAGGGACACCUCCACCCUGAGCCACUGGGUGCCAUGUGUGGCUCUGGCCACGCCAUUGGGUGAUGCACUGUGCCAAUGGGGAUGCUUGGUGCUUUUGGGGAUAUUCAGUGCUGCGAGGACUCUUGGUGCCAUUGGGGAUGCUCAGUGCCAGUGGGGAUGUGUGGUGCUAUUGGAGACAUUUGGUGUCAUUGAGGAUGCUUGGUUCCAAUGGAGACAUUUGGUGCCAGUGGGGGUGCUUGGUGCCAUUGGAGACAUUUGGUGCCACCGGGGUUGCUUGGUGCCAUUGAAGAUGCUUGGUACCACUGGAGACACUUGGUGCCAUUGGGGAUGCUUGGUUUCAAUGGAGACAUUUGGAGCCACUGGUAACAUGUGGUGCCAUUGAAGAUGCUUGGUACCAUUGGAGACAUUUGGUGCCAUUGGAGAUAUUUGGUGCCGUUGGCAAUGCUUGGUGCCACUGAAGAUGCUUGGUGCCAUUGGGGAUGUUCGGUGCCCUGGGACAGGAAUCAGUAAGCUCCCCCACCCAUGAACAAAUCUGCUGGGUGGGGCUGCGGCGUCUGGAUCAACGUCUUUAGUUUAUGAAAAUUAUAAUUAUUUUGAUUUUUG
rnacentral:lncRNA from 1 species